rnacentral:tRNA from 1 species
CGGGAUGUAGCUCAGCCUGGUGAGAGCGCCUGCUCGGGGAGCAGGAGGUCGCAGGUUCAAAUCCUGUCAUCCCGA